CAGCAGCCGCGGGAAUACGAAGGGGGCUAGCGUUGCUCGGAAUUACUGGGCGUAAAGGGAGCGUAGGCGGAUCGUUAAGUUGGGGGUGAAAGCCCGGGGCUCAACCUCGGAAUUGCCUUCAAUACUGGCGAUCUUGAGUAUGGAAGAGGUACGUGGAACUCCGAGUGUAGAGGUGAAAUUCGUAGAUAUUCGGAAGAACACCAGUGGCGAAGGCGACAUACUGGUCCAUUACUGACGCUGAGGCUCGAAAGCGUGGGGAGCAAACAGGAUUAGAGACCCCUGUAGUCCCUGUCUCUUAUAC
rnacentral:rRNA from 1 species